UCUCUGUCAAAGGGGCCACGAGCGCGGUCACCGCCAACCCGGCAGCUUCUUUGUGAAGUGUGUGUUGAUUCGAACUGACAGUGCAACUUCUCGUGCCGUCACACAUUUAGAAACCAUCAGGAGGAGACGGCAUUAACAGACUGACCGGGAGAGGAGGAUUAUAAAACCAGAGUUGUGAUGGAAGCCACUGGGGGAGGGGCUUCACAUUAUCAUGCAAGACAAGUGAAGGUAGUAAAACUGCACCCGGAGCAGUGCGAGUGAAGAAAGGAGGUCAAGCCUUACCUCCAGUCCAUCUUCUCCACCAGUGAAAGAGGUUUGGCUGGCGACGCUAAUGAGGAUUAAAUGAACACUCGUCACAGGAUGGGGACCACAUUCACCAGCCCAACUGUGUGAUUUGGAUACGAGUACCACAAAGCCUAAUCCCCAGCUGGACAAAGACCGGACACUGCCGAGAUGACAUUCACACAUUCUGCUCUGAUGUUGGAGCAAUGUGUUUAAAGGCCAGGCAGUCAGGAGGUAGGUAAGACCUACAGAGCAGAUCUGGACAGGGUAAUAAGACGCCAUGGGGAAGAAUAAGAGAGCACCCUGCUGUCAAUACUGUGGAAGUGCAGCUUCUAUAUCCAUGUGUCCAUGAUUGGAAUUUACUAGUCUGCAAUUAAGCAUAAUGUAAACGCAGAAUGUUGUUCCUAAAUGACUUUUUCACACUUAAAAGAAAGUAAGAGGAAGCUGCUAAAGAGAAAAAAAGGUGAGAAAACUCAUUAUUUAAAAAGGUAGAAGUAAGAUAUUGGUCAGGUAAUCAAACAAAGAAGCAGGAAAAUUGACGAAAAGCAAAACGAAGUUGAAGAACAACCUAAAGCAAAAGCAAUAACAAGGACAAAUGGAGCUUCAAGUUAACGCAGAAACGCUGUAGGUCGGGCUAGCAACAACUGGCAAAGACAUGAAAGAGCAUCAGCUUUCCACAUUUAAGGAAAGACUUAUAACAGAGGGAUGAAGAAAGAAAUACCAUAAUCUCCGACAACAAAAAGUUGCAAAAACAAAACGGAUACAAAAUGUUUGGAAAAGGGCAAACACUUAAUACCUGACAGGUGAUUGAAUGAUACAUCAGUGAAGGCCUUUUAAACCAAACAUAUUUACUCCGGAGUUCGGCUUAGUGCCUACUGAUGUCCUUUCACCUCAACAUCACCUACACAGUGGGGGAGGAGUGUUUUUUCUCAUGUGAAACUCCCACACAAACAAACAACUUAACUUGCACAACAGUAUUUUGUUUUCAGUUUUUUAAGGAUGUGGAUUAGAGAGCCAUGUGUUUUUGGAAAUGUGCAGAGGCCACUUGCAAUGUGACGCAACUUUCGGAUGGCCAUUUAACCUGCUGUGUUUUUUUUAUAGAUUAAUUCUGUGACCAUCAGCUGAGGACUGCGAGACCAGCGUUACUAUAUUAAUAUUAAAAUUCAUUUUAUGGAAAGAAAUGCUUGAACGUAAAAUAAAACAACCUGACAACCA